rnacentral:rRNA from 1 species
GAUGAACGCUGGCGGCGUGCCUAAUACAUGCAAGUCGAGCGAAUGGAUUAAGAGCUUGCUCUUAUGAAGCUAGCGGCGGACGGGUGAGUAACACGUGGGUAACCUGCCCAUAAGACUGGGAUAACUCCGGGAAACCGGGGCUAAUACCGGAUAACAUUUUGAACCGCAUGGUUCGAAAUUGAAAGGUGGCUUCGGCUGUCACUUAUGGAUGGACCCGCGUCGCAUUAGCUAGUUGGUGAGGUAACGGCUCACCAAAGCAACGAUGCGUAGCCGACCUGAGAGGGUGAUCGGCCACACUGGGACUGAGACACGGCCCAGACUCCUACGGGAGGCAGCAGUAGGGAAUCUUCCGCAAUGGACGAAAGUCUGACGGAGCAACGCCGCGUGAGUGAUGAAGGCUUUCGGGUCGUAAAACUCUGUUGUUAGGGAAGAACAAGUGCUAGUUGAAUAAGCUGGCACCUUGACGGUACCUAACCCGAAAGCCACGGCUAACUACGUGCCAGCCGCCGCGGUAA